UCGUAUGAGUAUCGGAUUGCUCGUGAACUUGUAUCGUUAUCAUCUAAUUAGGUGUAUAAUUUAGCUAUUCCAUUUCUCCUUAGAGUUUGACCUUAAUUACUCCUUUCGUGUAGCCUUAGAAAAAAUAUUUAUCCUAAAUUAAGUGUCAUUUAGGAAUUGAAGGCAAAAAUAACAAUUAUUUCCAACUAUAUUCUUAUAUUAAAGAACGAUUAAUUCUUAAUAGUUCUCAAUUGCAAGAAACAUCUAGAUAACAUAGUAAACUAUACAUUAAUUCUUAAUCUUUCAUAGAUGAAGAACAUCUAUGUGUGAUUUCUAUCGGGUAAAGUCAAUGUUUAGAGGCCUCGAGAGUGCAACCCAUUCGAUCUAUUCUCAAAUUGUCGAUGAGGGAUGAAUCGGAAGGUAGGAUACUGUGACAAACUGUAUGCUAACCUAGAUCCAACAAAGGCUGUUAGUCGAUUAAGACAGUAGGAUGGUGGUCAUGAAAGUCGAAAUCCACCAAGGAGUGUAUAACAACUCACAUGCCAAAUCAACCAGCCCCAAAAAUAGAUGUCUCUUAAGCAUUCAACCAACACCUAGCAAUCCGGGCAAGUGCCAGGCCCCUAUGAGUAUUAGGGUGCGGCGGCCACUAUAAAACCUUGGGCAUGAACCAGGGCGGAGCAGCGCCAGUGUAGAUUUUUGUGGUUGUAGCAAAUAUUCUAAUGAGAACUUUGAAAGCCUAAUAGGGGAACUAUUCCAUGUGAAUGACACUUGCACAUGGGUUAGUUGAUCCUAAGGGUCAAGGGAACCUUGAUAAAUAAUAUGUUCUGCACGUACUACGAAAAGGGAUCGGGUUAAAAUUCCUAAACUGGGACGUGGCGGUAAACAACAACGUCAAGAAGUCUAGAGAUAUCGAUGGAAGCCUAAGGAAUAAUUAUAUUUUAUAUUUAACAGCCUUCCCACCCUAGAAUAAGCUGAAAUGGAGUUAGAAGAACAACGCACGUCACGUGGUGUCCUGUGCACUCAUGGCGGCCCUUGAAAAACUAGAGUACUGAAUGCAGUCCAUACCGGAUUGAACUCAUAACAGCAUAAAGUCUCCAUGGUGACCAUCCUCUGGUC
rnacentral:ncRNA from 1 species